rnacentral:lncRNA from 1 species
GCGCUGGGUUUAGGGCAAGACCUAGGUUUACUUUCGGUUUAAGGAUUGUGCGGUGACUGGCCGGCUAUCGUAUUUCCUAUUGCGAUUUCUUCCUGAUUCGUAUCGAUUUAAGGUCCGCGAUAGGUUCUCGGCUUAUACGACUUGUUUGAUACGAAUCGAGCAUCUCUCCGGAGACCGGAAGUGCUGGACCAAAAUUUUGGAUUUCUUUUAUAGCGCUAUUAUCCUUGUGUCGUAUGUAAGAGAGUCAUCUUCGUGAGAUGGCUAUGUCUGUUUAGGACGUUGAGAGUUUGUUGUGAUCAGCAAAAAACUUAAUGGCUCGAGCUCGGUCGCUACGUAGCGACCAACCUGUGUGCAUGCUUGGUCGCCGCGUAUCGAACGAGCUUGGCUUGUCCGUGGUCUGAUUUCCAUACUCGAGCUUGUCUGCGGCCGAUUUGGAUACAUGUCCGUUGCCUUCGGACAAUCGGUAUUUUGUGGUUCGAUUGAGAUUUGGACGAUAUUUUACUGCAAGGCUCUUCGUAAAGAUAUCUUUACGAAGAUUACUUUUCGUAAAAACGUUUAUGCUGAUUUUUACGGACUUUCUGACAUUGAUUCCGUUGUGACCGAUUUUGACCCCAACAAAAGUCACUCUGAACGACUUUCUGGAGUUGGAAGUAUGGCUUCGACAGAAGCUUGAUGAUCAGCCCGCUUCGGGAAAAAGUCUGAAAAAUUCCUUAAAGGCUGACGACAUCGACCAACAUAAACCUGAUGAGGUCGAUCGACACCCACCCUACGACAUCGAUCUACAGUCGCCGUCUAACAUCGAUCAACAUACACCCGACUGUAUCGCUCGAUACCCACCCGAUUGCAUCGAUCGACACCCAUGUUUGAAUGAACUAUCAAGAUACAUGAUUGAACCAGAACUGGUUGGAAGAAAAGAACACACGUCUGGAGCCUCACACCUUGCUGUCCCCGAAAAUCUAAGACCACCUCUAUGCGAAGACGAAGCUGUUGGGAUUUGCAAAAGAGUGAAGAGGAUACAUGAUCAUGUGAAGUUUGUUGUUCCAUAUGAAGUGUUUGAAGCUGAAUCUCCUAUCCCACCAGAUAAAAGUAUGGAGUUAAGUUCCUAUGGUGGAGUAUUUGAUGCUAAUAAGUACGUAGAAGCUUCUCAAAGAGGGCUGCGAUUUAGAGAUGAAGUAGAUAACUGCCCAGCAGAAGUACCAUCGAGCGACAUCAACAGAACAAAAUCGAUUGACACUAUCAUUUCAUCAUCGAUCGAUACCGGUCAGAUACCAUCGAUCGACACCCUUCGCGAAUCAGAACAGAAAGUGUUUGAAGUGUGUCAGAAUCUUUUUGAUGGAGGCACCACCAAGCGAUCAGACAAGUGUGGGGGAAAGAAGAGGCGGAAUUGGAAGAAGAGGAAAAGGAUCGACGGAGAUCCUCAGUUAUCAUUGAUUCCCCACUUCUCAGAUGGUGUCAGAAAACCCAGAGUGCGCAGCAGAUGCUUCUCACAGCCUUUUGCAAAGCUCAAAGCACUCCUUAUUGCUGAAAUGAUAAACAAAGGAGAAGUGUAUAUGGAUGAGGCUUUCACACAAAAAUGAUAAAGCUUCAAAGAGUAGACAUUGAGACUUGGUUUGGAUCAAGUUCUCAUUCUUAUGCGGACUUAAUCAGAUCUCCAGAAGUCAAGCUAAUGACUAAAAAUGAGCGCUGAGUGGGAGGAAACCCACUGUUAGGUAAUUUUAAAUAUGGUUUAUCUUUCAUUUAUUACUGAGUCUUUGUUUUCUAAGGAUUUCCGUAAAAAAAAAUGAACAGUAACGACGGUACUGUAACAGAGACACUGUAGCAGCAGCAUCGAGCGACACUGUAAAAGGACAAGAUCCGAGGAAGACGAGAUUGCAGGAGAAUCGAUGAUGGCUACGUAGCAUCGAUCGACAGAGCAUCAAGAGUAUUGAUCGCCACUUAACUGUGUUGCUCGACACUCACAUCCAAGCAGGUAUACCGUUUUUCCUUGUUAAAUAUUGUCCUUAUGAUUUAUUUUCUCACCAAUCUUAGACUGGAUAGCGCUAGUGAUAGUGUUGUUUAAGUCUGGGGGAGGAGGUUCUACUAAUAUUGUGUUUUAGUUAGUUAAAAAAAAAAGCAGAUCCGAGUAAACGAUUGCUCAGCACAUCGACCGAUGAGACCAGCUCGAUAUCGAUCGACAUCGCUUCAUAUCCAACAAUCAAUUGUCUCUUCAUUGUGUCGAAUGAUUGCUCUAGCCAUCGACCGAUGAGACCAUGUCACUAUCAAUCGACAGCACUUCAUCAACAUCGAUCGAUUGUCUAUUCAUUGUGUCGAUCGACACUGAUGGCGAGCAGGUUAUCGUUCUUACUUGUUAAAUUGUCUACUUAUUAUUUAUGUUCUAACCAUAACUCCGACUAGAUAUACACUGGGGACAGUGUAAUUUAAGUCUGGGGGGAUGUUUACUGAUAUUUGCUUAUCUAUUGAGUUUUAUAAAAUGUUUUCAAAACUGUUUUUAUUGACUCAAGAAGGGGAUAAUGAACUUAUUAGAUUCAUGCUUGUUAUCUAACCACUCUUUAGCACCAUUCUAGACUUACUGAUUACAGAUAGUACUAAAGAUACUAAAGUGGAUCAACAUGUCAACUAUGUUCACACUUGCUGAGAAUGUUUGAAGGAACCGAAGCUGACCUCCAACCUAAUUUGACUUAACUGCUUGUCUUGGGGCUUGGUAUACACUGGAUCGGAUUCUUCCUUCAGGUCUGAAAGGUUAAAUUCUGAGUGAUUUUGGUUUCCUUAUCUCCUCCCUUUGGCAUCCUAAUAAAAUAAAAUAAAAGAUUGAGAUGAUUUCUUGCGGUUUAGAGGGGUAGGUACAUUACCGAUGACCCCAUUAUUCUACUCUAAUAGAAUGAUCACACAUUGUUGGAAGCGAGGGGUAGGUACAUUACCGAUAACCCCACUAUUCGCCUACACUUUGUCAAGAAAAGAAAAAGAAAAAGAAAAAAAAAUAAUUAAAAAAAAAUCAAAAAGAAGGUGAAUAAGAUGGACUGCAUCAGCAUCUUUGUUCAUUGGAAUUGAGAUAAAAAGGACUCAGAGAAGGGAUAUAUAAAGUAAAAGAAACCAUAACAAGACUACCUGUUUACUCAGAUACCUGUUGCGGUAAGAGUCCAUGUGUCUUGUGAUCGAUACUCCCAAGGUAAAGCAUACACAUUUAUUUAUGUUAAGAAAUGAGGUUGGUCGAGGGGAAUGUCAGACAUGAUUUGCUAAGAUGUUGGCUAGGUGAAUUUGGUUGCUAAGCUAGGAUAUUAUAUAAUGUGCUUCUGUGAUUAGGACUUCUUAGAUGUGGAUUGCAAUAUUGUAGAGGUGAUGAUUCUAUGUUUUAAAUCAUGUGAGUCCCUGCUGUUUUCAAAACCUCUUUCAGAGAGACUGCCCGUCUGUUUUGCUUGAGGACAAGCAAAAGGGUAAGUCUGGGGGAGUUGAUAGACCAUAGAUUUUACCCAUUUUUAAUCAUGGUCUAUAAGUUUUUUAAAGUGUUUAAGAUACAAUUAUUAUGUUUUGGAGUCUAUUUAGAGUAUUUACAGGUUCAGGGACGUUUAGGAAAAAUAUGGUGAUUUUGGAGUCUUUUGGAGCCUUUUGAGGUGCAGAGUUGCACAGACGCGUCAGAUGUUUAGCUAUGGAUGGAGACCUUCGACCGUUAGAUUGAGCCCAUAUUUUGACACAAGAUAGAGAUUUGAGUUAGGUUUCCAAUGUCACCGGUCUCAGGUCAGUCAGCAUCAUGUAUCAGAUGUUAUGCUCGUCUUACUUAAGAGUGGUCAGUCUGCCUCGUGAGAGGAAGCUGCCGAGAAGAAGAAGCCACGUCGAUCGAUGCAGCACUCUGCACGUCGAUCGAUGGAGAUCCCAGAUCGUGAGCCUUGUAUAUUUUAUGACUGCGUGAAGCCCAGAAGCCACAAAUUACCAGAAUGCCCUUGGACGACCAUAAAUCCUAUUUAUGUUAUUUCGAAGCCAUUGUUGACGGCUACGCUUUCUACACGCUUUCAUUUUCAUUGUUUCUCUUAGAGGAGAGAAGGGAGGAACUCCUAUCAGAGUCCUCCUGGAAUUCCAUUGGUUUUAUUAUCUAUUCUAUUUCUGUUUUAUAUCUAUUCAUCUAUGAUUUCUGUUUUCAUGUCUGAGUAGAUCCACCUGUUAGAUCCAGUGUUCAGAUAGGUUUGUGGGAUUAGCCCCAAACUAUAGAUCUGCCUUGUUGUGAUAUUCAUGAUAGAUCUAUACUUAUUGCUUGUUUUAGAGUAAUUAACUAGAAUAUUUAUCAUAGGAUUGCAUACACAAGCAUCCUUGUUAUCCCAUCCUGACAUCUAUCUAUCAUAUUAGGAUUGCUAGAGAGGGCUAACCGCCAAUUUAGCAUCCUAAUAGGGCAAAUCAUCUCGCGCAUAGGCCUGGCUAGAACCCGUCGAUCGAUGUCCUCAACUGACUAUCGGUCGACGUAGGUAAAGGUGUAUCGGUCGACGUCCCUAUAGGAGCAUCGAUCGACACUCUUUCGUUGUCAACAUACUAACCGUUGAGACACGAGAUCUAGCAAGUUAACCAGUGAAACAUGCGAUAGCUGAUCACUGAGUUAAGCUGUUGAGCUCUAACAUAUCAUGCAUGCAACAAAUAGGUACCUAUUGGAAUUAUAAUCUCCAGCACCUGAAUAGAAACCCUAGAUCUUGCAACCAUCCUUCCAUCAAACAACCUUGCCAAGCUGAACAAUUGACUUGUUCAACUUGUUUACUGCUUUAUAACCUAUUAGCCUAGUUUAUUAUAAAUUGUUUAGAUGUAAUUGGUUCCCUAGCUCCUUUUAGAUUUGAUCCCUAAGUAUUAUAACUCGACCUCUUUUGAUGAGAGUAACACUCUUUAGGGCAAUUUGAGUGAUAUCACGUAGGAUCAAGUUGACCAUGUAACACUUUCUUCUUCUCCUUUAAAAGGAGGAGAUGUUGCCCCCAUGGUGGGGAUUGGUCGGAGUUGGCGGAAGGUUUGAUGGAGAAGCCGAGAGCGUCUGCAUAAAGGGUGAUGCCUCUGCUCACACCCAAAGAUGCUUAUGCUGCUCUUGUAGCUAUACUUGGCCUUAGAUCAGGCAGGAAUUCAGUUUGCAUUCCUUGAGGCUCUCAGGACCCAGGAAUUCUGAGAAGGAGAAUCUUGGCGAGGCUAAGGAUUAGGGGGAUGAGGAGUGUUAGGGGAUUUUUGUGUAGGCUCUUUGUGAGUAGUAAGGAACGUUUAUAGGUAUUUCGUGAGAAUUUAGGAAGGAUAAUAAAGAGAUAGGCUUGAAGAGACUUUUAUUAGAUAGAGUAAGCAAGAACAAGAGAGGUUACAAAGUAUUGAAUAAGAACUGUAGUUCUAGCCGUCUAGUUCUAGUCACUAAGCCUUGGGAAGUCGAUCCUUUGCUUUAGGGUUUUAGUAGUCAUCAUAUAGUCCUCUAGGAGUCGGUUUCCUUAGGUUAAACUCUUCCAUAUUCGGAAAUAUGGAAGGUUCUCCUUAUCGGAAGUUUUCCAUUUCUUGGAUGGGAGCUCGGUUCCAGGGACCGAACUCAGGGUUCCUCCUAGCGGGGACCUGGAGCGUUUCCUUAUCGAGGACCCGAGGGUCGGGGUUCUGUCUGUAGGCUGGAGGAAAUGAUACCUGAGUAUUUUUCCCCAACAGUUUGCCCCUUAUUUCUCGAUAUCGUCAACGAAGUCGGGGGAUACUGUAACACCCCCGAACCGUCCUAAGCAUAGGUCGACCCACCGGACAACAAUCAAACAAGAACAUGACCGACGGACGACCCACACAAAGAGUUGGAGAUGAAAGGCCAACCGGCCAGCCAACAAUCAAACAAGAACAUGACUGGCCGUCCAACCCAACACCAUGGUUCGGAAGCGCUACGUGACGGGAUAGGGACAAUCCAAUCAGAGUCACAAAAUUUACUUCACGACCUCGACCAGUUCAUCCAAUAACUCGUCCCGCUGCCUCAAGGCACAAGGCUUUGCAACCCGGCCAAGAGUUAGCGUUUUCCGUUAGAUCGAGGCCUAAGGCUUUUCAACCCGUACUACGACCUAACGUUGUGUUAGACCGGACUAGUCAAAUAUCAGAGUACUCAUGAAGCGCAUAUAAAACAUUUACUUUAUUGAUUCGAGAAAUAUCCAUACAUUGAAUAAUUCGAGAUUGAGCCCGGCCUAAUGCCAAAUCGAGCCAACAAAACACAUAACUCAAUACCGAUUACAAAAGGCAUGAAAAUCUACAUCGGCGGUCCUAACGUCCAACACCAAGCUAUCCGAUCAUCCUUACCUAAAGCGACCUGCAAAAAAGACAACGGAGUCGGAUGAGUAACCUAAUGUUACUCAGUGAAUUAUGAUCCCCAUCUAACAAAUACAACCCCUCGCUAUCCCACCCAAAAAAAUCUAAAGUGAGAAGUUCAGCUAAUAACACAAUUCAAUAACAUUAAGCAAUAUUCAAAAUACGCAGCAGUAAACUAUAGCAAGAUAACUAGCAUUAUGCUAAUUACAAACUCAUCACCAAACUCAAACUCGUUUAAAACCAGGGUUUAACAAUCCAAAACACGAGAUAAUAUAUAUAACAAAUGUUGGGGUCAAAAACGGUUACGACAAAUUUAACAUUCAAAACGUCCGAGGAAGAAAAUAAGAAUUUCUCCGAAGGGUACUUUUCGAAAUAGAUUCUUCCUUACGAAAAAGCUUUACGGAAAAAAGAAUCGAGACGUCCGACGAAAGCUCGAAACAGGUCAUUACGCAGCGACCGAACGUCCGUCCCGCUCGGUCGCUACGUAACGACCAUGCGCUCGUCCCGCUCGGUCGCUACGUAGCGACCGAGCGCUCUUCCCGCUCGGUCGCUACGUAGCGACCGAGCUCGAGCCGAAGCUUGGUCGCUACGUAGCGACCGAGCGCUGUGUAGCGAUUGAACUCUUCCGAAUAUCGACCGAGCGCUGUGUAGCAAUUGAACUCUCGUCAAACCUUCGAAUGCUAUCUCCCAAAGACCGUAGCAAGCUCAUGUCUAUGUUUUCCGCUAUUCUAAGUCAUCGAUCAAACUUCGCGGAUUAGAAACCGCUGAAAGUUUGUUCUUUAUCAAAAGAAAUCGUAGUAAACGUGUCGAGUCGGAAGAUGGCCGAAAGGGACCUAAAACACGACUCGAGGCCCAUCCUACGAUUUCUUAACUAAAAGCCCGUAAACCGCAGCACGGUUUACGCUUGGUCCACAAGGAAGGAUAAAUGUCAAGUUUCCGCGGAUAAAUACGGAAGUUUUGAAGAUAAUUGUGAAGAUCGGGAAAAAUGGAAUAUCUCCAUUUUUAUGCUAUGACGGCUUAAGGGCAGAAGAGUAAAAGCGUAAACCGACCUUGGAGCUAGUAUAUAAGGAGUCCUAGGCGAGGAGCAAGAGGAGAUAAUUUUUUCAGAGCAAACUUAGCACUUAGAGCGAUUUAGGCAAUUUUCCGUUUUUGUUAUUUCGAGCUGCGACUCAAUUAGGUUUAGCCGUCUUAGGGUUGCUAGAACGAGGAAUCUCGCCGACAGCUCUCGAGCCCAGGCUUAUACCUUGUUGUAAACGCUCAUACGCAAAUUCGGAAAUAAGAUCUUCUUUGCUCUCUUUUUCGAUUUCUUAUUUUUAUCGUUGUUAUUCUCGUGUUCUGAUUGCUUGACGUGUGGUAAUUAGCAGAUAUCCGGGUCCUCUGGGAAAUUAGGGUUUUACUAGUUUCCUUAUUUAAACGGAAAUCGACAGUGCGAAUUUUGGUUCCCACAGUUUGGCGCUAGAAGGAGGGGGACUUACGGAUCAAUCUAACCCGCAAAAGCCACUCAACGAUCAGGAACGGUAUGCAAGAUUAGACGUGUGCGAACGUCAUCUCAUUCAAGGGGGGGCAGCAACGAUCGAUCUAGCCAAACCUCAAAACGAUAUCCUUGUUAUCGAGUUGACGAUUCGAGAUAUCGACUUCGCUAGAGUGCUAAUCGAUACCGGAAGCUCGGCCGAUAUCAUCUUCAAAGACACUCUUGAAAAGAUGGGGAUCAAUCAAUCCGAAGUCACGAAAUGCCCAAGCCCACUGCUAGGACUUUCGGGGGAUGCCUAUGGAUCGAUUAGUCUCGCUGUCAAAGCCGGAACCGUGACAAACGUCACAGAGUUUCUAGUCGUUGACCGUCCCGCAUCUUACAUUGUUAUCAUGGGAACGCCAUGGCUGAACACCAUGCGCGCAAUCCCAUCAACCUACCAUCUUUGCCUCAAGUUCCCGACCCCCAACGGAGUCGAGGAAAUUUGGGGAAAUCCGAGAGUAUCACAGGUUUGUUUCGCCGCAGAACUAAAACGAAAGAGACCGAUCCUCGAAAUCACUCCUAGAAAAGUGGAGAAAAAGACCUCCAGCAAAGAUACGCGAAGUCAGGAUUCAGCGGAAUUCUUCUGGCAUUCUCGCAGCAUCGCGGGUCUAGAUGAAAAACGCGAGCCAACAUGCGAACCCGUGGUAACGAUCUGUCUCGACGAAGCCUUCCCAGAAUGCUGCGUCGAGAUUGAAGCCAAUCUCCGCGAGCCUUUAAGGACAGAACUCAUAACCUGUCUUAAAAAGAACCUCAAUACUUUCGCAUGGGCUGCGGAAGAUAUGCCAGGAAUCGACAUUAACAUAACAUGUCUCGAGCUGAAUAUCGACCCAACAUUCAAACCCGUCAAACAGAAAAGACGGAAGCUAGGACCCGAACGUGCUGCCGCAGUAAACGAUGAGGUCGAAAAAUUGCUUAAAGUUGGGUCGAUAACAGAAGUAAGAUACCCGGACUGGCUCGCCAACCCCGUAGUAGUCAAAAAGAAGAACGGGAAGUGGCGAGUUUGCGUGGAUUUUACCGACCUAAACAAGGCAUGUCCAAAGGAUAGCUUCCCUCUACCACAUAUCGAUCGAUUGGUAGAAGCAACAGCGGGCAACGAACUCUUAUCCUUCAUGGAUUCCUUCUCAGGUUAUAAUCAAAUUAGGAUGAACCCCGACGAUCGUGAGAAGACUGUGUUCAUUACCGAUCGCGGAACUUAUUGCUAUAAGGUAAUGCCUUUCGGCCUCAAAAAUGCUGGUGCAACUUACCGACGACUCGUGAACCAAAUGUUCUCCAAACAACUCGGAAAAAUGAUGGAAGUUUAUAUCGACGACAUGCUCGUCAAAUCCCUCAAAGCAAGAGAUCACGUGUCACAUCUCGAAGAAUGCUUUGCACAAUUAAAUUCCCAUAACAUGAAGCUCAACCCGACAAAAUGUAGGUUCGCCGUGGCAUCAGGGGAAUUCCUCGGCUACUUGGUCACAUAUCGCGGCAUCAAAGCAAAUCCAAAACAGAUCAACGCACUACUCGAGAUGGCUUCACCAAAGAAUUAGCGGGAAGUCCAGAGACUGACCGGCAUAAUCGCAGCGCUUAACCGAUUUAUUUCACGAUCAACAGAUAAGUGUCUGCCCUUCUACGACGUCCUGCGAGGAAAUAAAAAAUUCUAAUGGACGGAAGAGUCCGAAAAAGCCUCCCAACAGCUGAAGCGCUAUUUAGCUACUCCUCCAGUCCUCGCAAAACCCGUGGAAGGGAAGCCUUUCUUCUUGUACAUCACUGUGUCGGCAACGGCCGUAAGCGGAGUCCUGAUCAAGGAAGAACGCGGGGAGCAGAAACAUAUUUUCUACAUAAGCAAAACCUUGCUGGAUGUCGAAUCUAGGUAUCCAUUGAUGGAAAAAUUGGCAUGCGCGGUCGUAACAUCGGCUCGAAAACUAAGACCAUAUUUCAAUUCCCACACCAUCGUCAUCCUCACGACUUUUCCCUUACGGACAAUUUUCCAUAGCCCAAGUCAAUCAGGCCGACUGGCUAAGUGGGCGGUCGAGUUGAGCGAGUAUGACAUCGAAUACCGACCGAGGACGAGCGCAAAAUCACAAGUGCUCGCAGACUUCUUGGUCGAACUUCCAACGGGAACAAUAACCAAUGAAGAACCAAAUUCCACUUGGCUCCUCCACGUCGACGGAUCCUCAUCCAAGCAAGGAUCGGGUAUCGGAAUCCGUCUCACAUCUCCAACGAGCGAGAUCUUGGAACAAUCGUUCAGGCUGGAAUUCCAUGCCUCGAACAACGAGGCCGAAUACGAAGCAUUAAUCGCAGGGCUACGUUUGGCUCACGGCUUAAAAAUACGUAAUCUCCACGCUUACUGCGACUCCCAGUUAGUGGCCAGUCAAUUCAGUGGAGAGUAUGAAGCCAGAGACGAAAGGAUGGACGCGUACCUCAAACUGGUCCAAGGUCUAGCUCAAGACUUCGACUGUUUUGCCCUUACGCGGAUCCCCCGUUCCUAGAAUGUCCAGGCGGACGCCCUCGCGGCCCUAGCAUCAAGUUCCGAUCUAGGACUCAAAAGGGUAAUUCCGGUCGAGUUCAUCGAACAUCCGAGCAUCGGACCACCAAUCGUCGUCAAUCUCAUAGAGGGUCAAGACGACGAGGAAGAAGAAAUUACGAUACCACCACCAUCGGAGCAAUCUGAUUACGGCUGUGAUACCCCAUGGCUUCAGACGAUUCGAGACUACAUUGUUGACGGGCAACUGCCCGCCGAAAAAUGGGCAGCUCGCAAAGUGCGAACACAGGCUGCACGCUACGUAAAAGUGGACAGCGAAAUCUACAAAUGGAGAUUCUCCGGACCAGUCAUGACAUGCCUGGAAGGAGAAAAGGCGAGAAAAGUAAUGGAGAAAAUACAUUCCGGCUCCUGCGGCAACCAUUCCGGCGGAAGAUCACUAGCCGUGAAAAUCAAACGCCAUGGAUACUAUUGGCCAACAAUGAUCGGAGAUUGCGAGAAAUUCGCACGAAAAUGCGAAAAAUGCCAAAGGCAUGCACCAACCAUCCGACAACCGACCGAAGUUCUUUCCUCCAUCACAUCGCCCUACCCCUUUAUGCGCUGGGCCAUGGAUAUUGUCGGACCUCUGCAUUAUUCAAAGCAAAAGCGUUUCCUUCUAGUCCUUACCGAUUUUUUCUCAAAAUGGGUAGAGGCGGACUCGUACGCAAGUAUAAAAGACGUCCAAUUCGAGAAUUUUGUGUGGAAAAACAUCAUCUGUAGGCAUGGAGUUCCUUACGAGAUCGUAACCGGUAACGGGUCUCAGUUCGUCUCCACCCGGUUCAAGGCAUUCUGCAAAAAAUGGAAUAUACGACUCAACAAGUCAACUCCCAGAUAUCCGCAGUGCAACGGACAUGCUGAAACAAUCAACAAGACCAUUCUCGACGGACUGAAGAAAAGCUUAGAGGCCAAAAAAGGUAGAUGGGCCGACGAACUCGAGGGAGUCCUCUGGUCUCACCGUACCACCCCAAGGCGAGCAACGGGAGAAACUCCCUUCGCUCUGCUAUACGGCACGGAAUGUAUGAUUCCCGCAGAAGUAGAGUUCCCCGGUGUUCGAAGAAGGUUAUUACCCGAACGAGAGGAACUCAACGAUGCUAUGCUCUUGGAUGAUCUCGACCUCAUUAACGAGCGCCGAGAUCGAGCGCUCAUCCGAAUUCAAAACUACCAGCAUGCUGCUGCAAAAUAUUAUAAUUCCAACGUACGAAAUCGUAGGUUCAUUCAGGGAGAUCUGGUCCUUCGCAAAGUCUUCCAAAACACCGCUGAAUGAAACGCGGGAAAACUCAGAGCAAAUUGGGAAGGUCCCUAUAAAAUCGAAAAAGUCGUCCGACCAGGUUCUUACGAAAUAGCCAACAUGCAAGGCAUAAAAAUUCCUAGAACCUGGAACGUGAUGCAUCUCAAAAAAUACUAUCACUAAACAAACCAACUCGCAAUCACUGAACUACGAGACGGCUUGAUCUCCGCAAGGAGUACGUAGGCAGUUUGUCGAAAAGGCAAAUUCAGCUGUCCCCCCUCAUUAAAAAGGGGGGAGUGGGUACGUAUACUCGUAUACUCCCAAAGAAUGAAAAAUCUUCUGACCACGCUCUUGGUGUUUUCGACUUAUCAAAACAUCCUCACCCGUAAAACCAGAACGAGGUCUUCGGAAAUUAGUCGACCGUUUAGGAGAAGCAACCUUUAGCAUCGCGAGACGUCGCAAAAGAUGCCUCAAAGUUUAUUUCUUCCGAACAAACGAAACCUCCGUCACAAAAAAAAAACACAUAUACUUAUUUUGCGCAAAAAUAUUCAAAACAACGGCACGCACCACCAAGUCCGAUGCUGUUCACAUCGAACUCACAAACGUCCUAAACAGACAUAGCCAUCUCACAGAGAUGACUCUCUUACAUCCGACACAAGGAUAAUAGCGCUAUAAAAGAAAUCCGAAAUUUUGGUCUAGCACUUCCGGUCUCCGUAGAGAUGCUCGAUUCAUAUCAAACAAGUCGUAUAAGCCGAGAACCUAUCGCGGACUUUACAUCGAUACGAAUCAGGAAGAAAUCACGACAGGAAAAACGAUAGCCGGUUAGUCAACGCACAAUCCUUAAACCGAAAGUAAACCUAGGUCUUGCCCUAAACCCAGCGCACUGGUUUCUAACAUCUCAAAGGCAUGAUAUCGAAAGAUAAGAGAUUCUUAAACCAUGCCUCUAUGUUUAUGUUCGAUACCUUCAGCACCCCCGCAGAGUUCACAUCUCGCGGAACAACUCUCGAAACAGAUCUCGAAUGAAACAUUUCACAAUCGAAGAAGGAUAUGAGAUGACAACUCAUCACCUUCCUCCCCACUAUUCACAAACUCAAAAAAAACGCCAUCCGAUUAUCGUACCAUAAAAAGAAAGCCGCGGAGCGGCAGGGAUUCAAAGCCACACACGGCCAGUCCCGAAAUACAAACAAGGCCAUUCAAGGCCGAAACAUAAAAACGUAAAAAAAAAUCUCUCGCAAGAGAUUUAACCCAAGUCAUCCUCAGAACUCACGCCCCCUCUUCACCCGCUGCCUCGUCCGAUCCUGGAGCCGCGUCACCUCCGUUUUCUCCGACCAUCGGGUCUUUCCCCUCUGAGUCUUCUGAACACGUCGGAAGGAAGAACGCGGAUUUCAGGUCGGCCAGGAUGAGACCGAAAUCUCCAUCCUCGGCCGCCAUAUCACCCUUGCAGUCGGACAGUCGGACAGUCGGGCCUCUUCGGCCUCCAAGGUUGGGGGAGUCUCACUUUAGAACGAUCGAACCACGGAAAUCCCGCCCUCAAUCGUCACCAAAGCUAGGUCCCUGCUCCGGAUACACUCGAGGGAACCCAGGGAAGCAGAAAUCUUCGCCAAGUGAGCUUGAAACUCCGCGCGAAGGGCAUCCGUAGCCUCUUGGAUCCCGCGGCUCGCUAGUCCCGCGUCACCCUCGAUCUGAUGCUGGAGUCGACGCACCUCCGAGGAUUUGGCCUUCCUGGCCUUCUUUUCCUUAAGCAAGGAACUCGCCGUCUUCCCAAGGUCCCUCUCGAGCUCUCCUAUCGCGGCCUCGAGCUUCGACACUUUUGCAGAGUGAGAGUCCUUGACAUCCGUCAGCAUGGUCUCAGUUUCAGACCAUCUGCCCUGAAGCUCCACCAACUCCCCGGAAAGGCGACUGGUCUCAGAACCACACUCGCUGAUCAUCCCAACUUCCGAGAGAAACUAGUUCGUCGCCAAGUCCGAGAAAGAAUUCACAAAAGACAAUCGAGAAUUCAAACAAGAGACAAACCUUUCCGCGAAGUCCCGAUGCUAGGCUCGAUCAAACCUCGCUGUGAAGUCUCCCCGUCGCCACUCUUGUCAAGUUUCCUCUUCCGACUCUUAGGCUGAGUGGCCAGGACAGCGCUAGGAGCACGCAAUGCCAGAACGAUCUCUUUCCUGGCCUUUUCCUUGUCCUCGACGAGAAUCAGAGUCGUGGAAGAUCCCGCAGGUAGGGCUUGCGAAAGAGAAGCCAUGACCUCGGUCCCAUGACACGGGGCAACGACCUGCGCGGAAGAAGACAGAAACUCGGAGCCAGCUUGAGCUAGUUCUUUCUCGGCUUGGCGACGAACUAGUUUCUCUCGGAAAGAAAGAUGACCGGCAACACAAGCCGGCGCUUCAGCCGGAGAAGUUAGAGCCGGAGCCGGAGAAGUGGCCUCGCCCAUCUCGACGUUGGAAUCUCUCUUAUCACCUUGGGAGGAAGACAUGUUGAAAGGAAAGUUAUGAAACUAGAGAGGUUUUUGAAGGAAUGAAGAAGGGAAGGUGUGAAGAAAAUGAAUGACAAGAGCUCACUACUUAUAGAAGUAUGGGUUCGGAAUACUGUCUCGACAACUUUUGUCCGCGGAGUUUAAAAUGUGAAUUUCGUCCAAUACGCUUAACCUUGUCAAAGUCAUCUAUUCGCCCGCUAGAGUCACAACUCUAACGGGCUGGGGGGCUAACUGUUGGGGUCAAAAACGGUUACGACAAAUUUAACAUUCAAAACGUCCGAGGAAGAAAAUAAGAAUGUCUCCGAAGGGUACUUUUCGAAAUAGAUUCUUCCUUUCGAAAAAGCUUUACGGAAGAAAGAAUCGAGACGUCCGACGAAAGCUCGGAACAGGUCGUUAUGCAGCGACCGAACGUCCGUCCCGCUCGGUCGCUACAUAGCGACCGAGCUUUGCCGCUCGUCCCGCUCGGUCGCUACGUAGCGACCGAGCUCGGCCAAGCUCGGUCGCUAUGCAGCGAGCGAGCGAUCGUCCCGCUCGGUCGCUACGUAGCGACCGAGGGCUCGUCCCGCUCGGUCGCUAAGUAGCGACCGAGCUCGAGCCGAAGCUCGGUCGCUACGUGGCCACCGAGCUAGAGCCGAAGCUCAGUCGCUACAUAGCGACCGAGCGAUCGUCCCGCUCGGUCGCUACGUAGCGACCGAGCGCUCGUCCCGCUCGGUCGCUACGUAGCGACCGGGCUCGAGCCGAAGUUUGGUCUCUGUGUAGCGAUUGAACUCUUCCGAAUAUCGAUACGACACCAAUCCAUGCACUCUCGUCAAACCUUCGAAUGCUAUCUCCCGAAGACCGUAGCAAGCUCAUGUCUGUGGGAACCGAAAUUCGCACUGUCGAUUUCCGUUUAAAUAAGGAAACUAAGAAAACCCUAGUUUCCCAGAGGACCCGGAUAUCUGUUAAUUACCACACGUCAAGCAAUCAAAACACGAGAAUAACAACGAUAAAAAUAAGAAAUCGAAAAGAGAGCAAAGUAGAUCUUAUUCCGAAUCUGCGUAUGAGCGUUACAACAAGGUAUAAGCCUGGGCUCGAGAGCUGUCGGCGAGAUUCCUAGUUCUAGCAACCCUAAGACUGCUAAACCUAAUUGAGUCGCAGCUCGAAAUAACAAAAACGGAAAAUUGCCUAAAUCGCUCUAAGUGCUAAGUUUGCUCUGAAAAAAUUCUCUCCUCUUGCUCCUAGCCUAGGACUCCUUAUAUACUAGCUCCAAGGUCGGUUUACGCUUUUACUCUUCUGCCCUUAAGCCGUCAUAGCAUAAAAAUGGAGAUAUUCCAUUUUUCCCGAUCUUCACAAUUAUCUUCAAAACUUCCGUAUUUAUCCGCGGAAACUUGACAUUUAUCCUUCCUCGUGGGCCAAGCGUGAACCAUGCUGUGGUUCACGGGCUUUUGAUUAGGAAAAAUCGUAGGAUGGGCCUCGAAUCGUGUUUUAGGUCCCUUUGGGCCGUCUUCCGACUCGACACGUUUACUACGAGUUUUCCGCGGUUUCUAAUCGAAGUUUUGAUCGAUGGAUUAGAAUAGCGGGAAACAUGGACUGAGCUUGCCACGGUCUUCGGGAGAUAGCAUUCGAAGGUUUGACGAGAAUGCAAGGACUGGUGUCGUAUCGAUGUUCGGAAAGGUUCAAUCGCUACACAGCGACCGAACUUUGGCUCGAGCCCGGUCGCUACGUAGCGACCGAGCGGGAGGAGCGCUCGGUCGCUACGUAGCGACCGAGCUUUGGCUCGAGCUCGGUCGCUACGUAGCGACCGAGCGGGACGAUCGCUCGGUCUCUACGUAGCGACCGAGCUUUGGCUCGAGCUCGGUCGCUACGUAGCGACCGAGCGGGACGAUCGCUCGGUCGCUACGUAGCGACCGAGCUUGGCUGAGCUCGGUCGCUACGUAGCGACCGAGCGGGACGAUCGCUCGGUCGCUACGUAGCGACCGAGCGGGACGAUCGCUCGGUCGCUACGUAGCGACCGAGCUUUGGCUCGAGCUCGGUCGCUACGUAGCGACCGAGCGGGAUGAUCGCUCGGUCGCUACGUAGCGACCGAGCUUUGGCUCGAGCUCGGUCGCUACGUAGCGACCGAGCGGGACGAUCGCUCGGUCGCUACGUAGCGACCGAGCGGGACGGACGUUCGGUUGCUGCGUAAGGAAGAAUCUAUUUCGAAAAGUACUCCUCGGAGAAACUCUUAUUUUCUUCUUCGGACGUUUUGAAUGCUAAAUUUGUCGUAACCGUUUUUGACCCCAACAGUUAGCCCCCCAGCCCGUUAGAGUUGUGACUCUAGCGGGUGGAUAGAUGACUUUGACAAGGUUAAGUAUAUUGGACGAAAUUUAUAUUUAAAACUCCGCGAAAAAAAGUUGUCGAGGCGACGUUCCGAACCCAUACUUCUAUAAGUAGUGAGCUCUUGUCAUUCAUUUUCUUCACACCUUUCCUUCUUCAUUUCUUCAAAAACCUCUCUAGCUUCAUAACUUUCCUUUCAACAUGUCUUCCUCCCAAGGUGAUAAGAAGGAUUCCGACGUCGAGAUGGGUGAGGCCACUUCCCCGGCUCCGAUUCCAACUUCUCCGGCGGAAGUGCCGGCUUGUGUUGCCGGUCAUCUUUCUUUCCGAGAGAAACUAGUUCGUCGCCAAACCGAGAAAGGAUUGGCUCAGACUGGCUCCGAGUUUCCGUCUUCCUCCGAGCAGGUCGUUGCCCCGUGUCAUGGGAUCGACGUCGCGGCUCCUCUCCCGCAAGUCCUACCUGCGGGAUCUUCCACGACUCCGAUCCUUGUCGAGGACAAGGGAAAGGCCGCUGACUCUAUGCCUCCACCUCCGGCCAGAAAAGAAAUCGUUCUAGCAUUGCCUGCUCCUAGCGCUGUCCAGGCUACUCAGCCUAAGAGUCGGAAGAGGAAACUGGCCAAGAGCGGUGACGGGGAGACUUCGCAGCGAGGUGGGUCGAGCCUAGCAUCGGGACUUCGUGGAAAGGUUUGUUUCUUGUUUGAAUUCUCGAUCGUCUGUCGUGCAUUCUCUUUACGGACUUAAUCUUAGGAAUUUUUUCCGUUCGCAGUUCAUAUCGUUGAUCGAUGGGAUGAUCAACGAAUGUGGCUCCGAGACCAGUCGUCUUUCCGGGGAGCUGGUGGAGCUUCAGGGGAGAUGGUCCGAAACCGAGGCUAUGUUGACGGCUGUCGAGGGUUCUCACUCUGCGAAAGUGUCGAAGCUCGAGGUUGCGAUAGGAGAGCUUGAGAGGGACCUCGGGAAGACGGCGAGUUCCUUGCUUAAGGAAAAGAAGGCCAGGAAGGCCAAAUCCUCGGAGGUGCGUCGACUCCAGCGUCAGAUCAAGAAUGACGCUGGACUAGCGCGCUGCGGGAUCCAAGAGGCUACGGAUGCCCUUCGCGCGGAGUUUCAGGCUCGCUUGGCGAAGAUUUCCGCUUCCCUGGAUCUCCUCGAGUGUAUCCGGAGCAGGGAUUUCGCUUUGGCGGCGAUUGAGGGCGGGAUGGCCGCGGUUCGGUCGUUCCAAAGUGAGACUCCCCCGACCUUGGAGGCCGAAGAGGCCCGACUGUCCGGCUGCAAGGGAGAUAUGGCGGCCGAGGAUGGAGAUUUUGGUCUUAUCCUGGCCGACCUAAAAUCCGCUUUCUUCCUUCCGACGUGUUCAGAACGGAAGCGACGCGGCUCCAGGCUCGGACGAGGCGGCGGGCGAAGAAGGGGCGUAAGUUCUGAGGAUGACUUGUGUUAGAUCUCUUGCGAGAGAUUUUUUUUGUUUUUAUGUUUCGGCCUUGAAUGGCCUUGUUUGUAUUUCGGGACUGGCCGUGUGUGGCUUUGAAUCCCUGCCGCUCCGCGGCUUUAUAAUAUGAUAAUCGGAUAACGCUUUUUAUGAAUUUGUGAAUAGUGGGGAGGAAGGCGAUGAGUUGUCGUCUCAUAUCCUUCUUCGAUUGUGAAAUGUUUUAUUCGAGACCUGUUUCGAGAGUUCUUCCGCGAGACGUGAACUAUGCGGGGGUGCUGAAGGUAUCGAAUCGUAAACAUAGAGGCGUGGUUUAAGAAUCUCCUAUCUUUCGAUAUCAUGCCUUUGAGAUGUUAGAGACCAGAGCGCUGGGUUUAGGGCAAGACCUAGGUUUACUUUCGGUUUAAGGAUUGUGCGGUGACUAACCGGCUAUCGUUUUUCCUGUCGUGAUUUCUUCCUGAUUCGUAUCGAUGUAAAGUCCGCGAAAAGUUCUCGGCUUAUACGACUUGUUUGAUACGAAUCGAGCAUCUCUCCGGAGACCGGAAGUGCUAGACCAAAAUUUCGGAUUUCUUUUAU